UUAAAGAGUGGGGUGGGGAGGUGCAGGUUUCAGUGAAUGCUAAACCCACAUCCCCUUUGCAUGCCAAUUUGCUGCCCCAUUGUUCUGUAGUGAGACUUUGUGAGUGAUUUUUCUCCCCCCAGUGCACUGAGGAGGGAACAGCCGGUGUGCCCAGCUCCAGGAGGACAGCAGCUGCCUUCAGGUGGUGCAGAGCUGUAGUCACCAAUGACGUGAGUCACAUGGACCCUGCCACCGCUGGCACUGAUCACCAGUUUCAGCAACGAGGCUGGAGAUUGACGCUGAUGUACCUGCUCUUCUGGGAGGUUUGAUGACACCGUGGCUGGCGCAGGAGGUCGAGCUCCCGCAGCCUGGGCUCAGCCUGUUAGUGCAGUGGGAUGAAGGGAAACUUCUGUAUCCCAUGCUAGUGAACACACUGUGCCCCUUUUUCCAUCUCUGGACUGUGCAGAGAGGUUGAAGAGGCUGCUGCUGCUCAAGUAGCCGAGAGGCUCGUGCUUUUAGAUCCAGGGCACGGGGAUCAGUCCCUGCCAAUGACCCAUCUAGGGCCUUGCUCCAAAGCCUUGGCCGUACCAUGUUGCAUGGGUAAUGCUUGUGUGCUGGCUGCCCUCGUGGCCGACACACCGGGGAUCAAACCGAAAGCAGGAGCGGCUAUGGCUUGAGCUAAAGAGCUGUGACUCAGGAGCUGGGACGGUUCCUGUUCUCUGUGGAUUGGCACAGUGGGGACCUUAACACGCUCCCCUGCCGCUGUCCUUGCUGUGCCCGCUCUGUUGCUCACCCCGCCCGAGGGAAUUCUGACUGUUUAGGGCCUGACUGAGCGACUCAGACUUUACUUCCAAGACCACUUGCUUUUAGGUUUUGAAGGGUCCCUGGUGACCAAUCCAUGGCUGUUCCUGGAGGGACUGAAAUAGCCUCUGGUUUAGCCUGCGGAACAUCUGCGAACCCUAUCUCAUUCCCAGCAUCCCCUGGUCAGCUAUUACCCUUGAUAUGGCCAAAAAACCUCCCUAUGAACUUCAGAGCAAGGUGAUGAGAUGCAGGGCACCCUCUGCCAUCUGGAAUUAGCGGGGCCAGCACCUUUCAGAGCCUCUGCCCUAAUAAAGGGCCCCACACUUCAAAUGCCUUUCAAGACUCUCCUAAGAGAUGACCGGUGAUAAAUUAUGCAAAUGGAGUGUGGAGUUCGGGCCUGGCCUGUUUGAUGAUCUGCUGAUGGGACUGAGAGGGGUCUGAAGCUGUGUAUGUGUAUCCGCUGCUGAUUGAUUCUCUCCUUUGGGAAGCUGCCCCUGCUGCUGGGGAUCGGGAUUUGCUGUUGCUGCCCCUGCAGAGCUGGGGAAUGAAGCAGCGCACGGGCUGGGCAGCCCCCUGGCAGCAGAGGCAGAGAAACUGGUCAGCAGCCUUGAGAAUAUAACAGGGUGAGUGCUGAAGGCUGCUUCGGCAAGCAGUAUAAUCACCCGGGAUCUGGACUCACUAAGGAGACCAACAAAUCUGUACUGCUACAGUUGUCAGCUGUGUAUGGACUGGGCUGGGCCAGACCCUGCUGUGAAACCAGCCUGGAGGAGGCACAGAGAGAUGAGGACACAAAUAUGAUCUGCUAGUUGAGAAACAUUUAAUGAAGAGUGCAGUGUGGAAAACUGACGAAUUGAAGCCAUUCCUUAACACGGGUGAAAGGUUUUGCCGCGGAAGCCCUGGAGAUGUCAGUCUUUUAUCCACAGAACAGAUCCACCAGCAGGAUUCUUCUUCUGCACCUACCCCAGCUCUGCUCCCACGUGCUGUGCCACCCCUUGCUGCACUGUGGGCAGUUCAAUCUCCCGGGCUCCUUCGAUUCGGGGGCUGGAGGCUGCCCUUCUGUGAGACAGAUGAGUGCCUGGUCUCUGGACACCACUCCCCUGAGAGCACUGAUUUCGCAUGGGUCACCAGCUGAACACUGUGUAUGCCAGCCUGGUUUAGACUCAAACCAGCACCCUGAAGAGGCUCUGUAGUCCUCUUACUCUCCUCCCUGCUGUGUUUCCUUUGGAUCCAUUUAAGAAAAGGUUGAUGCUUCUCCCAUCAGGAGCUGCUGCAAAUGCUGUUGGAGCAUGACUGUCCAGCUCUACAUUAAAUCUAAGGCAGCCCUGAGCAACCUUCUCUCUGCAAAUUGCACCCCAGCAGUGCAUGAGUGAGAGCCUGCAGCUCCUCUGGAGGCCGGGGCCACGACACAGACAAGAAAGCCAGGAGCUGAAGAAACAAGCAGAGACGUAGUGACUUGCCUGCAGUCCAAGUGGCAGAGCUGGGCCUGGAACCUCACUCUUCCUGUCAACAGGAAUAUGCAGCCUCACCAGAGGGAGUGGGCACUAGCAGACACCCAGAAUGUUACAGCAGAAGCCCUGGCCACAGUUUGAAGGAAGUGUGUUCUGCUGGACUGGUUGAGAAGGUCUGAGGCCUACAAUGAUGUGGAGGCCUAACAGAGUUUUCUCCCAAGCAGGAAAAUAAGUUGCUGGAUCGAAACAAAGCUUUGACAUCAUAAAUGUGCCUGAAAAUACUGGAAAAAAUUAUUCAUAUUUGCAACAUGCUUAAUGAUGAACAUUAUAUGCAUGUAAACAAAGACGGCUCAUCAGUGGCACAUAAGGGCAGCAAUACCAGAUUCCACAAAGCAAUUAAUCUCUGGAUUUUGGUAUUCUGUAAACCACCUUCUACCUGGAACUGAAACUAAGUAUGUUAAACAAAACUGGAAGCCACCAGAUAUCACUGACC